GACGAACGCUGGCGGCGUGCCUAAUACAUGCAAGUCGAGCGAAGUUUUUCUGGUGCUUGCACUAGAAAAACUUAGCGGCGAACGGGUGAGUAACACGUAAAGAACCUGCCUCAUAGACUGGGACAACUAUUGGAAACGAUAGCUAAUACCGGAUAACAGCAUUAACUGCAUGGUUGAUGUUUAAAAGUUGGUUUUGCUAACACUAUGAGAUGGCUUUGCGGUGCAUUAGCUAGUUGGUGGGGUAAAGGCCUACCAAGGCGACGAUGCAUAGCCGACCUGAGAGGGUGAUCGGCCACACUGGGACUGAGACACGGCCCAGACUCCUACGGGAGGCAGCAGUAGGGAAUCUUCCGCAAUGGGCGAAAGCCUGACGGAGCAACGCCGCGUGAGUGAAGAAGGAUUUCGGUUCGUAAAGCUCUGUUGUUAGGGAAGAAUGAUUGUGUAGUAACUAUACACAGUAGAGACGGACCUAACCA
rnacentral:rRNA from 1 species